AAAGAAAGGUUUUUGUUUUAUUAUUUUUCCUUUAUACAGAGUUAACAAUCAUGGGAUCAGUGGGAUCUCAACAUCAAGACAGUUCAAAGUAAGGAAGGUAGAAAAUAAACAGUAGAAAAGUGCUUUGCAAUUUGGGUUUUUAAUAGUACUCUUAGCUGCUGAUUCCCAAAGAGGGCUGGGACAAAGGUUUAGCACUGUCUUUAUUAUUACUUUAUUACAGAUGUAAAGAUAUUGCAAGUUUAAACGAUGGAAACAUGAUCAAGGUAAAAAUCCCUCUUUGCUUUGUAAGUAAGACCCUGCUCCAAAGCCCCGUGAAAUCAGGCUUUUCCCUGACUCGUUGGGCUUUGCACCGGCCCCGUCCCUUCUUGUUCCACGAUGCUGAGGCUCAGACUCUGCUCCCGGAGGGAACCUGGAGCCAUUUCACUGAUUUCCAGCAUUACGGUGGGUUCUGGAGCCUCAGCUCAGAAAGGGCUCAGGCACUGCACCGAUCCCCCCUAAGGUGCUGUGGGGUGGUUAUCCUGGAGGAACAGCCCCACGGGCAGCAAAAACCUUCCCUUCACCAUCCAGAAGCAACAACGCUCCGUAGCUUCUCUCCUCUUACAUUGCCAAUUCAAAAUGUACAGUCCCUUGGUACAAAUUUGGGUGGAAGCUUUAAAAACUCCCAGACUGGUCCAGCACUUCAACAGAUCAGCAUCUUUACACAACAAGGAAGAAGAAAGGUAACGGUAGACAAAUAAAUACCUGAAUCCAACGGCAUGAAAAUACCCUGUCACAGCAUCAAACUAUUCCCUGUUCAACUAAAGACAAUGUGGAUACUAUCCCUGAGGUAGCAGCCAUCUCUGGUAAACUUGAGAGCUCCAAGAAUAGGUUGUGCCCAUUAUGGGUUACCAAAAAUAAAAUAAAAUCAUGAAGAAAUCAGCUUUUUGGAUGCUUUCUUCCUUGCUGUAAUUUCAGCUGGAAUUUUCUGCUGUAAGCCAGGAAAGCGAGAGGGUUUGUUUGGAUCUGCCCAGAAAAGGCAGGGAGUUGAUUCAGUGGAAUUAUUUGCUUGGAAAAAUAGUAGAGGAUGAGAUUCCUACCCCAAACACAGGCAGUUGCCAGUUGCUUGCACCAGAUCCAACACCUGCCUGUUGUCCAGUGGUUUUAUCUCCAGACAAAACCUCAAUUCCUUCCAUUAGAAAAAGGGGAAAAAAGAAAAAGAAAUAAAGAAUCUGGCAAGUUGUUGCUUAAAUGUGUGAGGUGACAGCCCGGCUGGUUCAGCCCUCUGUCCUGGUACAUAAAAUGAUGCCCUUUGCUGCAUGGGUGCAGCAGAGCUUUGCC
rnacentral:lncRNA from 1 species